GCACUCUUGUCUGCUUACGAGGGCUCCUCCCUUCAGCUUUGGUCCCUCGGGGCGUCUGGGCAGCCUACGCUUUCCGGAUAAAAAUGGCAGAAUGAAAGAAUUAUGAGUGGAACUAGAGAAUAGGAAAGACAUGAACCAACGCCCAAAAUGAGAAAGAAGGACAUAUAAAGAAAAAGACAAAUACAAGUGAAAAAAAUAGACUAAUGGAUUAACGUCCCUGUCGUGUGACAUUUUCUGACUGGAAUCAGCCAUUUUACCAAGAAAGUUGGGUUUCUUUUACUGGCAAAUAGUACUUCAAGAGCACAGUCUUAUGUAAGAUUCAAACAUCCACAACUAAGGCCAUUAAAUUACAAAAGAAAAAAAAAAGACUGCCAUGUAAGUUACCCUAACUUGGAAGUAGCUAAUCCUGAAACUAGCAUGGCCUGGAACUUGGCUACUUUGGAGACUUUUUUGGUCUCUCUCCUAGUGUCUUUGCAUCUGUCCUGUCUUCCUCUUCGCUUCUCCUCUCUCUGCUUACGCAUGGCUUUUGCGCCUCUGUCACUCUGGGCUGCACGUGGUCAUGAUGGCCCACUGACCUCAGUUUACAUCACCAGCCUUUGGGUCUUGCUUCAGCUGCAAAUACUGGAUCUUGUCAAGAUGUUCUGGAUUGAAUUCAUGAGAAAAGGAAUCUGGUUGGCCAGUUCACAGGCGUUUUUCUGACGUGUCCCGGGGUUGGCUGGGCCAUGCAGUCUGUUUCCUGCUCUUGCCUAGUCAGCUGCAGCUGGGAGAGUAGAGUCCUCCAGUAGGAAACACAACUGCCUGGGUUCACAACUCCCUAGGCUGGGCCGAGGCAGUUCUGGGGAGGGGUGGUGAGUGGGUGGGUAGGGGCACAGUGGUUGUGUUUUCA
rnacentral:lncRNA from 1 species